rnacentral:snRNA from 1 species
GUGCUGUCUUCGGCAGCACAUAUACUAAAAUUGGACAGAUAUAGAGAAGACUAGCAUGGCCCUUGCACAAGGAUGGCAUGCAAAUUCGUGAAGCAUUUCAUAUUUAA